rnacentral:rRNA from 1 species
CUACGGGAGGCACCAGUGAGGAAUAUUGCGCAAUGGGGGAAACCCUGACGCAGCGACGCCGCGUGGAUGAUGAAGGCCUUCGGGUCGUAAAAUCCUGUCAGAUGGAAAGAAAUGCUAUAGGUUUAAUACAUCUAUAGUUUGACGGUACCAUCAAAGGAAGCACCGGCUAACUCCGUGCCAGCAGCCGCGGUAAUACGGAGGGUGCAAGCGUUGUUCGGAAUUACUGGGCGUAAAGCGCGCGUAGGUGGUUAUAUAAGUCAGAUGUGAAAGUCCACGGCUCAACCGUGGAAGUGCAUUUGAAACUGUCUGACUUGAGUACUGGAGGGGGUAGUGGAAUUCCCGGUGUAGAGGUGAAAUUCGUAGAUAUCGGGAGGAAUACCGGUGGCGAAGGCGACUACCUGGCCAGAUACUGACACUGAGGUGCGAAAGCGUGGGGAGCAAACAGGAUUAGAUACCCCGGUAGUC